rnacentral:rRNA from 1 species
UACGGGGGGGGCAAGCGUUGUUCGGAAUUACUGGGCGUAAAGGGCGCGUAGGCGGCCAGUGCAAGUCAGUUGUGAAAUCUCCGAGCUUAACUCGGAAAGGUCAACUGAUACUGCUCGGCUAGAGUGCGGAAGGGGCAACUGGAAUUCUUGGUGUAGCGGUGAAAUGCGUAGAUAUCAAGAGGAACACCUGCGGCGAAGGCGGGUUGCUGGGCCGACACUGACGCUGAUGCGCGAAAGCUAGGGGAGCGAACGGG